rnacentral:rRNA from 1 species
UACAGAGGGUGCGAGCGUUAAUCGGAAUUACUGGGCGUAAAGCGCACGUAGGUGGCUAUUUAAGUCGAUUGUGAAAUCCCUGGGCUUAACCUGGGAACUGCAGUCGAUACUGACUAGCUAGAGUGUGGUAGAGGGAGGUGGAAUUUCCGGUGUAGCGGUGAAAUGCGUAGAUAUCGGAAGGAACACCAGUGGCGAAGGCGACUUCCUGGACUAACACUGACACUGAGGUGCGAAAGCGUGGGUAGCGAACAGG